GAUGAACGCUGGCGGCGUGCCUAAUACAUGCAAGUCGAGCGAACGGACGAGAAGCUUGCUUCUCUGAUGUUAGCGGCGGACGGGUGAGUAACACGUGGAUAACCUACCUAUAAGACUGGGAUAACUUCGGGAAACCGGAGCUAAUACCGGAUAAUAUUUUGAACCGCAUGGUUCAAAAGUGAAAGACGGUCUUGCUGUCACUUAUAGAUGGAUCCGCGCUGCAUUAGCUAGUUGGUAAGGUAACGGCUUACCAAGGCAACGAUGCAUAGCCGACCUGAGAGGGUGAUCGGCCACACUGGAACGGAGACACGGUCCAGACUCCUACGAGAGGCAGCAGUAGGGAAUCUUCCGCAAUGGGAGAAAGCCUGACGGAGCAACGCCGCGUGAGUGAUGAAGGUCUUCGCAUCGUAAAACUCUGUUAGUAGGGAAGAACAUAUGUGUAAGUAACUGUGCACAUCUUGACGGUACCUAAUCAGAAAGCCACGGCUAACUACGUG
rnacentral:rRNA from 1 species